GCUUGUGUGCGCACUUAUGCCCUACACAUAUGUCCAACUUGAGGAAUUGCAAGAAUACACACCAAGCAUCAUAGGACUACAGGGUUGUGCUUAUGUAGUGUUUUACGAACAGUGACUGCAUUUAACAACACUUCAGUUAGAUCAUCUCCAUAAAGGGAAAAGAGGAGGAGGAGAGUGGGAAUAACUAAUUCAACCUCACAGUUCAUAACAGUGGCCUCUGACUGAAGAUUUCACAGAAGUGUACCUGAAUGGAUUUUGGAGGGAGCAGUAAAACUGACAGCUGAUAAACCACAUAUAUUACCACAGUGAAUUAAAUCUUUAAUAGUGGUAUAAGGAAAAGAAAUAAUGAGUAGCAAACUGUGUAUUUCCAACGUGGAAUUUAUGAAAGUUUGGAGACCUAAUAGUAACAUUCAACUUGAGAACACUAGGCGAUUUAAGGUGGAUCCAAACCAAUGCAUUAGUCAAGUUCAGCGUCUUACUCUUCCUGUGCUGUUGAUGACAGACCAUAAAGCCAGCUCAGAAGUAUGGCACAGCUCACAGUAGCCUGAUUUGAAACCCUAAGCUUCAUAAGGGCUAAGACUGAAACAAUAAAUCGAUCACCCCCCUCUGGUUUCUUUGUA